GACGAACGCUGGCGGCGUGCUUAACACAUGCAAGUCGAGCGGUAAGGCCCUUUCGGGGGUACGACGAGCGGCGAACGGGUGAGUAGCACGUGGGUGACCUGCCCUCAGCUCUGGGAUAAGCCUGGGAAACCGGGUCUAAUACUGGAUAUGACUCCAUGACGCAUGUUGUGGGGUGGAAAGCCUUGUGCGGCUGAGGAUGGGCCCGCGGCCUAUCAGCUUGUUGGUGGGGUGAUGGCCUACCAAGGCGACGACGGGUAGCCGGCCUGAGAGGGCGACCGGCCACACUGGGACUGAGACACGGCCCAGACUCCUACGGGAGGCAGCAGUGGGGAAUCUUGCGCAAUGGGCGAAAGCCUGACGCAGCGACGCCGCGUGAGGGAUGACGGCCU
rnacentral:rRNA from 1 species